rnacentral:rRNA from 1 species
UACGUAGGGCGCAAGCGUUGUCCGGAAUUAUUGGGCGUAAAGAGCUCGUAGGCGGCUUGUCACGUCGGGUGUGAAAGCCCGGGGCUUAACCCCGGGUCUGCAUUCGAUACGGGCUAGCUAGAGUGUGGUAGGGGAGAUCGGAAUUCCUGGUGUAGCGGUGAAAUGCGCAGAUAUCAGGAGGAACACCGGUGGCGAAGGCGGAUCUCUGGGCCAUUACUGACGCUGAGGAGCGAGAGCGUGGGGAGCGAACAGG